UACGUAGGGGGCGAGCGUUAAUCGGAAUUACUGGGCGUAAAGCGUGCGCAGGCGGCUUCGCAAGUCGAGUGUGAAAUCCCCGGGCUUAACCUGGGAAUUGCGCUCGAAACUACGGAGCUGGAGUAUGGCAGAGGGAGGUGGAAUUCCACGUGUAGCGGUGAAAUGCGUAGAGAUGUGGAGGAACACCAAUGGCGAAGGCAGCCUCCUGGGCCAAUACUGACACUGAGGCACGAAAGCUAGGGGAGCAAACAGG
rnacentral:rRNA from 1 species